rnacentral:rRNA from 1 species
GGAGCGAACGCUGGCGGCAUGCUUAACACAUGCAAGUCGCACGGCUGGGGAAACCCAGCAGUGGCGGACGGGUGAGUAACGCGUAGGUAUCUAUCUCCGGGUGGGGACAACUGUGGGAAACUACAGCUAAUACCGCAUGAUGCCCGAGGGCCAAAGGCGCAAGUCGCCUGGAGAGGAGCCUGCGUACGAUUAGCUUGUUGGCGGGGUAAUGGCCCACCAAGGCGACGAUCGUUAGC